CUUUAAAAGAUCAAACUUGGUUCCUGUUUCAAUCCAGUUUAAUCUCCUCUGACCGUGAUUUCCACGCUAAUGUCUCCUAAUCAUCUCCAGGCUGUUGAUCUGUUCGUGACGGCGCUCUGAGGAAAACAAGAAAAAAUACUUUUGGAUCGGAGUUCGGUGUCUCUGACGGGAGAUUUUCACUGUGAGAAAGUCUUGAGAGUGUCGUUUUUUCCACCGGGGUUUGUUGGAAGUGUGAGAGGUGUGGGGGUUGGAGACUUUUUUAGUUUUUCAGUGUGAUGGUGCCAAAUAGGGAUGAGUAAGCAGUCCCCGGAGCCAGGGCUUGUUCUGGGCUCUUCGCUGACGUUUGCCAGCGCCCUCUUUUUACAGCGACAGACGGCCAAAGCUAGCAGCACAUCUCAGCGCCUGCAGCUCAUUCUCAUCCGCAGGCCGCUAAGCCCGGACCGACAUCCACAACCGCAGGUCUUGGAGCGAACCGCCGCUCGGUCCCUUUCAUUUAGCCCAUCACUCAUUCAUCGCUCUCUCUCUCUCUUUCACUCCCUAAACAUCUGUCUCUGUCAGUUUCUCCGUCCACCUCUGGCUCCUUUUCUAUCACUCUCUUUUCUUCUCUUUGCACUCUUUGUGGCUUCCCCGCUUGUCAAUCUGCUAAACCCGUUAAAUAUUACUCAGGGGGCAAAAAUGUGGCGUGAUGAAAUAACGGGGAACAUCACCCAGUUAUUGGUGAAGAUGGAGGCGGGUUUAUUUAUGAGCACCAAACUAAUAAAGCAGCUUACAGCACGGGUCUGGACCCUGUCUGCCUAAGAAAACAGCACUUUUCUGUUCAAUAAAGCUGAAAGGAAAAUCUGUUUCACUCUUUUACGGUCGGCUUUCCUCCACGUUUCUGGUCUCCUUCUUCAGCACUCAGCCUUUAUAGUGUUGUAGUGACUCAUUUUAACAUGUUGAGUGAAAAAGUAAUGAUUCACUUUUGGAAAUUAAAUUAUUAAAUGUCUUUUUUUAUACAAUGUCAGACGAGAAACAGAAUGCAUUAUCUAUUUAAUUCGCUUAUAUUUUGAGCUCUCAUCUCCGCUCCUUCAGUCCAGAUUUGCAGACGUGGACGUCAACAAAAGUUUGCACAAACUUUUGCAUUUUAGUGAUGAGUCUACAAUCCUCUUGAUUCUCCAUACACCUGGCGCUGAUCGUCCUUGUGAACGGUGCCGAUGUGUUGGUUCCCAUAGGACCAUCCUGCUGGAGCUCCUGAUGUCUAUGGCGGUGGUCGGCCAGCCUCGUCCUCCUCGAUGCGACCUUCUUGCUGAUCCUCGGCAGUUGCCCGUACAGGUCCUUGUUGGUACAGCUAUAGAUCAGCACUAGCUGCGUUUACAUGGGCGCAAAUAAUCGGAAUAAAGUAUAAAAUCAGAAUAAGAUAAAAAAGCGUCAUGUAAAUAUGUCGAUCGGAAGAUACUGAUUGAAUUGGCUUAAUCGGAAAGAAAUUGUAUUUGGAUCAAGAGGGGUGGUUUAUGCCGAUCGUUAUUCCUAAACGCAUCCAUGUAAACACUUAAUCGGAUCCUGACUCUCUAACCUGACUCGGUCUUCACCAUAGACUGUAUAUAGAAUAAAUGCCGUCUGCCUCCUCGCUCUGAGAACAGCACCCUCUGGUGACGGGAUGCAGUAUAGGUCAUAAAUCCUGCCUUCUCCAGCAAUCUCUAUGGAGCUGUGCUACUGCGCAAUGUUGGUUUCAGGAAGUGGAGAAAAAACGCAGAAUUACCGAGAACUUUUCGUCUUCAAAUCCGUAAACUGAUGGAAGGCGGAACCAAGACUAUUGAGGUCAGAACAGGAGGUUAUGUGCCGUGUCUGCUCCUCCGAUAAUGGCGUAAUGAUGUCACAUCUGCAUGCACAGCGCAACCUUUGACAGAACAGUAAAAUAAGUAUGCAAGGUCGCCAUCUACUGACGACAUUUAGCAGGAGGAAAAACUCUUGAAUUGGAUGAAGUGAGUCACUGUUGUGUUUGUUGGUUUGUUGACAUCACAGGCGUAAAUACAACUCUUCUUCUUCUUCUUCUUCUGCGGUUGUUUCAGUGAAAUCAGACAACUCUGCACAUGUCCAAAUCUUUCUAAUCUGAAUAAAUCCCGCUGCAUAUAAACGCACGUCAUGAUCGGAUUAUUUGACUUUGUGUUCAUAUAAACAGUGGAUUCAGAUUUUCUGAUCCCUCAAAUUUUUAAUCAGAUCAAGAAAUUUUGGACGACUGUAAACACGACUGUUGAUCCAAUGUGGUCUAUAUCUGUGUAAUAUUAUUGCAGGUCUUUCAUCUUCUCUUCUGCAGAUCCAGCUGUUCAAUGAUGCAAACAUUAUUAACAGCCAAUAGAUGACAAACACCUCUGGGGGUCGAUAUUGAAGUUAAAGACUCUCCUCGUCAAAUUAGCAGUUAGCUCGGAGCAGGUGAGCUGAUUUUUCCACCUUUCAUGGUCCGGACGAGUGCGGUGGCACAGCUGGAGACAAAGAAAGCUCCCUGCUGCUCUGUAACAAGCACCUGAAAGCCAAGCCGGGCAUGUUCUCUGACAAUCAAUGAAAGGCAUUAUAAGAAUAACUGGUAAUCUAGCAUGAAGCACAGGUACUGUUGCUAUGGUAACCUCUGAACACUGGUUUAAAUCAGAGGUAAUUGACUCCUUGAAAAGUCCUGUUAUACUGGACUAAAGGGGGCAUGAUGACGGAUCAGGACUUUGAUACAGACUCAGAAAUAUCUAUAAAACAACAGAUAUCCGUGAUGUUAAAGGUUAGAGGUCCGACAUACACUAUUACAGGGAUCCAAACUGACCAAUCAGGAGGGCUCCAGACAUAAACACCAGAUCAUCUCUCUUCCUGUCAAACUUUCACCUGCUCUGUCCUUCACUGGUUUCCUCUCCUCUCUCCUCUCUCCUGACUGCUCGGCCUCAUCCUUCCUGAGCUGAAGCUCAGUGUGCCAGCUCACAGCUCAGGAGAUAAUGCUCACAGCUACAGGACAGAUUUAUUCCAACGUAGCUGGCCGUCUACAUGGCCAAGAGGAUCCUCGUCUCGUCCCCGAGCAAUCCCCGUCCUCCGGAGUGACGGGGACAAAGACGAGGAGCGAGGACCCACCGGGGGGCUUCAGCAGCGGUAAAGAGAGCACUCAUGGGCACAGAGAGAGGGAUCAGACCUUUCUCCAGCUGCAGCUCCCUCCCUCCUACUCUAAGUUGACGCUCCACCCUCACUUUACUCUGAGGACUCUCUGCCUCGGUCACGUCCCGUCUGUCUCUCUCCACACACCCACACAUGUGAAGACCAGUCAUCCAGGAGGAUUACCAAACUCACAGAGGAGUUGGUGGAUGGGAAAUGGUUCUUACUCGUACAUCCUCAUUAUUGGAGCAGAAAAAUGCUGUUAUACUGUCAGCUCUAUCAUCCUGUGUUCGCUCUACGAACUGAUAUGAGUCUGGACCGAGAGAGACGUCCUCCAAUUCAGGCUUGGCUUGGUGAUUCAAAGGGAUACUCCGGCGUAAAAUUAAUUUAGGGUCAAACACACCGUAACACCGAGUUAGACACCCCCUCCAGAGUUGAAUGUUGCCGACCGCUUGCUUCUCUAGUUUUACCAACUUUAGUAGGGUCACAGCCAUAGUACUAGACACCAAACAUCUUUUUAACUUUAGCAAAGAGACUAAACACAACUCACCUACUCUCUCUAAUUUUACACCGGAAUAUCCCUUUAAGCAUCUUCCCCAUGUAACGUAGUUGUAGUCAUGGUUGUAGCAAAGGUCGCCAGUUUGACUUCUAGCUGCAAACCUUUUGCUGCAUGUCAUUCAAGCUGCAACCUCCAGUGAUCCAAAGCGCAGAUGCAAAAGUGUAAAAAUCUGCAGUUCCUCGAGUGUCCACUUGAGGCAGUCUGCAAAAGUUGCACACGCACGCUCAUCAAAAUAAACGUGUUUGCAGUUUGGUAGGAAUCAGUAUCUCAUGAGAUAUCACGGUUAAGAGUUUUGCAUAAUUCGACUCCAUCAACAGACUGAUAAAAACCUCAUUUUCACCUCUUUGCGUUUUGCUACGUCAACCAGAAAUUUAACCGAGUCAGCAUUUUGCGGUGAAGGCUUCAGCGGAAACAAACGGGUGAAGUCAAGGGCGCCAUAUUCAUGUUUCACACAAUCUACACCCUGUCACACUCUUAUUUUUUCAGCUGUCUGGGAAAAAGUCCAAAAAUAAUCAAAGAAGGAUCUGUGUGAUAAAAGUCGUAUUUCUAUCCCUUAAAAAGAAAAAACACAAACCAACAACAACAGACUGAACUCAAACGAGCCUGUAGUUGAGGUGCAGAAUAGAGACAUCUAGUGUAUUUUAUCUCUUUAAAAUCACACAGAUUUUUAUCACUCGCAGCAGGUUAAACACCGUGAGGUAUCUCUGCUGACAAAUCUGAAAAUCUGAUCCAGUAAGUAGGUCAACAUUAAUCCCAAAUCUUAACCACCGGUUUUGGCAGGCGAUCACAAAUUGAGGUCAGAACACGCUGGUGGCGGUCAUUUUUAAAAAGACAUUAACAUUUUUGUUAAAGCGUUACUGUAUAUGUGAGGCUGCUGCUGCUGUGAAUCCCUGGAAUAACUUGGUUGGAUUUCUCUUUAGUCACUGACUGCUUUAGCUGCGGCUCUGCUGAAGCUCAUAAGCUGUUGAUUUGGAUUUUUCAGUCCAAAAACGCCGCUAAGCUAUCAUUAAAAUCAAUUAUGCGUGCUGAAGGGUUUCUGUUUUUCGAGAGGAUUUUAUUUCAUCCCACUUUUUUUUUUUUUUUCUUACCCAGAGGUUGUACAGGCUGUUAAACCUCCGCCCGCCUCAGGGCAGUGUAAUUCAGACAGUAAUUUAAAAAAGUGACCAGAGAGAGGCGGGCCGAGAGCCGCGGAGAUAAAUAAUAAAACAAUAAUAAAAACUGGGAUGAGCCCGAGUAUCAGCUUUAGGUCUACCUCCCGCGUCUGCUAUCUCUCGGGAACUCUUGCAGAGCAACAGAUGGUAAACUCUGAAUGACUCAGCCGCAGCGCACUCAUGCACGGUCCUCUACUGCCACCUGCUGGUCGCACAUGAGACAAACAAAGUGCAUGAAGAAAGUCAAACACAGGAGAAAGAUGUUUGAAUGCAGCUUAUGUGAAGUGCUUGAUUAAAAUAAGAAUUAUAAAGCGCCCCUGCGUCCUCAAACAGUUCCAGGAAUUGCUUAAUAAAUCAAUUUAUCUCAAUAAUUGAAGUUUGGACGUCUAUUGUGAGCGAUGAUGAAGAGAUCUGCAGGCACACUCAGCCUCUAAUGAUAAACACAUGUGAGUCUUCCCACUAUCUGAGCCAAUUAUAGACAGCAGACUCUAAACAAUCUAUCACGGCCACGCAGAAAAAUGACCCCCGUGAUACAAAAGGAGGAUGAAAAAUGAGCAGGAAUGUGAGGAGGUGAGAGCAGAUGGAUUAUGAACUAUAAAUGUAUAACAAAUGAACCGGGCAGGGGGCUCAGGCCUGCCAGACCUGCUCAAUCAAUCACCGCUCUAACAAGGCGGUGGGCAGCGAGCUGUCGCCUCACACAGAAAGACACACAGACACACAAAGACGGAUUUAAUGGUGGAAGUUUGUUAUGAGGUUGUUAUCGAAUCACACGGACAUGUCCGUCUUUGUCCACUGUGUCUCCUCCGUCCUCUGUACACUCAUGUUUUUAUGGACGAUAUUUACAAGACGAUGAACUUCAUGAUUGUGGCGAUGUCCUGAAUGUUAAAAACUCAUGUUUACAUCACUUCACUUCUCCAGUUAUGCUGUUUGUGCUGAUAUGUGCAAAUAAAACCCCAAACUAAGUCUUUGUAAAACCCUCAAAUACGUCUAACCUGAGUGUUUAUCAAAUCAAUAACAUCACACCCAGUAUAACCUGAAUAAACCCUUUAUUAAUAUCUAAGCGAAGCCUUAGUUACAUCCUAAACAAAACAUGAAUUAACUCUUAAUUUCAGUCUAAACUAAUUCUUUAUAACACCAUCAAAGAAGUCUUACCUGAGUGUUUAUCAAGUUAAUAACAUUACUAAAUAAACCCUUUAUUAAUACCUAAACAAAACAUUAAUUUAAUCUUUAUUUUAGCCUAAACUGAACUUUAAAACAGCCUUAAUACACCUAAACAAGUCUUAACUAAGCUUUUUGACAAAACAUGGAUUUAGACUUUAUAACACUCUUAAUUAAGCUUUUAUUACAUCUUAAACUAAAGCCUUAACUAGACCUUUAACAAACACUACACCCUCAACUACACCUAAAAUAAACCUUCAUUUCACCUUCAGAUAAGCCCUGACUUCGUCUCUAUGACACCAUUAUCAAAUCCUUUAUUACACCCUUAGCUACGCCUUAAUUUACUCUAACCUAGCUUUGUUUUUACACCCUUAAAAAGUGUAAACCUAGCUUUUAUUAUAACCUUACUAGAGCUGUCCCGAUAUGAUAUUGAUAUCGGAUAUCGGUCCGAUAUCAGUCAAAAAACAAAUAUCCGAUUAUAUCGGCCUGCAUCUAAAAUCUCUGAUAUCAGCACUCCAGACUCCACUCCAGCACCUCUAUCUAGCAGCGCCCGGAUCUAGCAUGCAGAGCUGAUGUAAUCACAACAACAGUGUGUACUAAAGUACUAACAAAGUAGAGAGGAGUCGGGGUGAUGUCGGCCCUGUGUCAAUAAGUUUGGUUAAAGUCCCUAACAAGUUUGUGCCAAUAUCGGAUCAAUAUCGGUAUCGGCUGAUACUGAAAGUUACCAUAUCGGUAUCGUAUUGGAAGUGAAAUAGUUGCAUCGUGACACCCCUAAAUCUGAAUUU